rnacentral:lncRNA from 1 species
ACGAAUCUGUUGUUCUCCACUGGCGCUAGCUACUAGUUACUCCGAGUCCGACAAUCUGACAAUUCCACUCCAUCAUUGAACUGUUUAGCUAGAAUUUCGAGUUGGGUUCAAGAGGCUCGAGUUUACUGGUGAAUUGUUUGGCCUGAUGAGGUCUGUUCGAGGUCGUCGGCGUGGUUUUUGAUCCGAUCAACGUCCCACUUAAUCCAUUUUUGAAGAAUUUUCAGCAAUUACAAAGGUUCAAUCUCUCUUUGUUUAACCUUUAUUUAACUAGAAAUAAAAUGGAAGGGAUGAAGGUAUUUUGACAUCAUAUUAAUAGAAUUAUCUAUCUCAAUUUCAAAUUAUGACAUUUGAGUAAUUUAAAUAUUAG